UCCCUGGUGGCUCAGAGGUUAAAGCGUCUGCCUGCAAUGCGGGAGACCUGGGUUCAAUUCCUGGUUUGGGAA
rnacentral:tRNA from 1 species